rnacentral:rRNA from 1 species
GUCUACGGCCAUGCUACCCUGAACAAGCCCAACCUUGUCUGAUCUCAGAAGCUAAACAGGGUUGGGCCUAGUUAGUACUUGGAUGGGAGACCACCUAGGAAGACCAGGUGCUGUAGGUG